rnacentral:tRNA from 1 species
CAGUGGCUCAGUUGGUUAGAGCGCCGGCCUGUCACGCCGGAGGUCGAGGGUUCGAGUCCCUUCUG